UAGUUAUCAGCCACGGUAGCUUGCUAGCCAAUAUAGCUAAAACGUUAAAGCUCAUUAGACACUUUCGGUGUGUAUUAGCCACUGUUUUAAACACACGUAUGUCAUAUAGCUAGCUAAUUGUCGCAUAUAAUUGCAUUUUACGUUGCUAGUAGUUAGCUAGCUGGUUAAAUUAGCAGUAGCACUUGACGUGUCAUUAAUGCUACCUAGCCAGCUAACAUCCCUGACCAUGAGCUCACUAAGCUACUCUCCCCCUGCUGAAGAAGAGGAGGUCUGCUGGACGGUGAAAGAGGAGGAGGAAGAGGAGGCUGUCACCGUCAAACAAGAAGUAGCGGGUGAGGCUGUAACAGUGAAAGAAGAGGAAGACGCUUUCAGAGUGAAACAGGAGGAAGCGAAAGAGCAGGAUGUUGGAGUGGAGGGGGAGAUCACUGUCACAUUGGAUGAGGAAGACGUUUUUGGAGUGGAGGAAGAGAAGACUGGAAAUCUGAUUAACACCAAAAACCCGAAUCAAGACGAGGAUUAUUUUGAUCUGGAUUAAAUGUUGUAAAAGGAACUGGCCACCAGUUAUUUCAUUGAAGCAACUCGACAACCUGUGGAUUAUGUGGAGAUACAGUUGAUGAAUUACCUGGCUGGGCUGUGGGACAAUGGAGAUACAGUUGAUGAAUUACCUGGCUGGGCUGUGGGACAGUAUGGAGAUACAGUUGAUGAAUUACCUGGCUGGGCUGUGGGACAAUGGAGAUACAGUUGAUGAAUUACCUGGCUGGGCUGUGGGACAGUGGAUGUACAUGGAUAAUUCAAAUGGAACCGUUAUUUAUUAUCGUAAAUAACUAGCACUUGUCAACCAAUCAGCACCCAGGAUCCAAACUAUAUUGAAGGAUCUAGUCUGGAUUAAACCUCAUAGGAAGACAGUUUAAUCAUGUUGAGAUUUUAGUCAGGUCUCGCUGUUUAACCAAAUAUUCUGUUUUUUCUUUGACAGGAGCGAUAUCAGACUGUCACUCUGACAGAGGAAAGAGUCCUUCAGGAGAACCCGAUCCAGAGACGUCCAAACCAGUGAGGCGACACCACUGCUCACAGUGUGGAAAGAUAUUUAUCAGGUUAAAGCACCUGAAAGAACACAAGAGAACGCACACAGGGGAGAAGCCUUAUCAUUGCUCCCAGUGUGGAAUGGGUUUUGGACACUUAGGGUAUCUAAAAGUGCAUGAAAGAACACACUCUGUAGAGAGGCCUUUUCAAUGCUCUCAGUGUGGCCAGAGAUUUAUCCAGUCGUCGCACCUGAAAGAGCAUGAGAGAACACACACAGGAGAUAAGCCUUUCCAAUGUUCUCAGUGUAAAAAGAGUUAUACCAAGUUAGGGAACCUGAAAAUGCAUGCGAGAAUACACACAGGAGAGAAGCCUUUCCACUGCUCCCUGUGUGAAAAGAGUUUUACCUAUUUAGGGAUACUGAAAAAGCAUGAAAUGACACACACACGAGAGAAACCUUUCCAAUGCUCCCAAUGUGGAAAGAGUUUGACCGAACACACACAGGAGGGGAGAAGACCUAACGUUGUUAAGACCAGUUAAGGCCCCGGAAUAACCACCUCCAAAAUUAUUGGCACCCUUGAUAAAGAUGUGUUUAAGAUCAAUAAUACAAGUACUGAGCUGAAUAUUGUAUGCUGAAUUUUUGGGGGGGAAUUGUGGUGUAUACAAAUACAUUUGCUCGGAGAAAAAAAAUUCAUUUAACAAGUAAAAAAAAUAACAAAAGUUAAAAAAAUGUUAGCUUUCAUUUAUUGGCACCCGUAAAGAUUCUUGUUAAUUAAAUAAAAUAAAAAAUGAAAUCUACAUGAAUGUAGAUUUCAUUUUUUAUCACAAUGUUAACAUUCUGAUGGGACAUUUUCUCUCUGUGUAUCAAAUUGUAUGUUUAGAAUAAUGUUGCUCUGUAAUUACAUGUCUUGGUUCGGUUCAUGAGAGUGACUGACUCAUUAUACACACUGAUUGUAGAUGGGAGUAAACCAUAUGCAAUUUAGCAGUACGGCCCAGAACAUUGCUCUGUGGGACAAAAGAAGUAUCUCAGCCUCGUGAGGUAUCAGUCAGUCACAUGCAGGAACCAACGUUAAUAAUGUAAAUCAUGCUUAUAUGACUUGUUUGUGUAGCAGUAUAUAAGGGCUGAAAGGGAACACCCUUUUCAUCAAGCUUGGAUUGAGUUUGUGAACCUUCCCGGGCCGUGAUAAUAAA